rnacentral:rRNA from 1 species
AACUUACGCUAAUACCCCAUACGUCGUACGGGAGAGAUCAGGGGACCUUCUGGGCCUUGCGCGGUCAGACGAACCGAUGUUCGAUUAGCUAGUUGGUAACGUAAUGGGUUACCAAUGCGACGAUCGAUAGCUGGUCUGAGAAGAUGAUCAGCCACACUGAGACUGAGACACGGCCCAGACUCGUACGGGAGGCAGCAGUGGGGAAUAGUGGACAAUGGGCGCAAGCCUGAUCCAGCAAUGCCGCGUGUGUGAAGAAGGCCCUCGGGUUGUAAAGCACUUUUAUCAGGAACGA